AGAAAUGAAAAUCCCCUUGGAGAUGUUCUCCUGCGUUCAGCAAUUUAUUCAAAGGACAGUGCAAUUUAAAUGCAAUAUCUGGCAUCGUUAGUUUUCUUGGCUCCGUGCAUGUUAAACCUGAUAUUUUUACACUA